rnacentral:misc_RNA from 2 species
AGCAGCCGCGGUAAUUCCAGCUCCAAUAGCGUAUAUUAAAGUUGUUGCAGUUAAAAAGCUCGUAGUUGAAUUUCGGGAUCAAUAUGUCGGUCGUGCCUUGGUACGUACUGGUAUCAUUGGUCUCUCCUUUCUGACGAACCAUGAUGUCAUUAAUUUGGUGUUAUGGGAAGUUAGGACUGUUACUUUGAAAAAAUUAGAGUGUUUAAAGCAGGCUUUAGCUUGAAUACAUUAGCAUGGAAUAAUGAAAUAGGACGUUCGAACCUAUUUUGUUGGUUCUAGGAUCAACGUAAUGAUUAAUAGGGAUAGUUGGGGGCAUUAGUAUUCAAUUGUCAGAGGUGAAAUUCUUGGAUUUAUUGAAGACUAACUACUGCGAAAGCAUUUGCCAAGGAUGUUUUCAUUAAUCAAGAACGAAAGUUAGGGAUCGAAGACGAUCAGAUACCGUCGUAGUCUUAACCAUAAACUAUGCCGACUAGGGAUCGGAUGAUGUUAAUUUUUUCAAUGACUCAUUCGGCGCCUUACG